UGACGUGCUUUGUUUCUCCUGCAGGAGCUGAGAUGGUGGCAAGCCCUCAGAGCAGUACAGGGCCUCGCAUCACUGGGAUCUUGGAUGCUGCUACUGCUUCUACUGCUGCUGCCGCCACCACAGACUGCCGCCCUGUCCUCAGCGGAGAGCCAAGGUGAGUCUCCGCUCACUGCAGCAGAGGAGGUGUCGUCCGUGUAAGUCUUGUGGAGGGAAGAGCAUGGUUACAAUAGCAGCUGUGUCCAGGACGACUCUCCUCUCCAGCCGACGAUUUCCUUCUCUUCCUGUCACCGUAACAGAAGCGCCUCUGGAGAACCCGAGUCCGACAGGUGUUCCAGGCCAACGUUGACUCGCCCCAGACAAGGCACAACUACGUGGAACCGCCCGUGCUGGGUCGGUUUGUGAGGUUGCACGUACUGGAAUGGCACUCACAACCCUCCAUGCGCUUUGAGCUGCUCGGCUGUCAGGCCCUUUUGGUGUUCCACGUGCCGAGCGAAUCCGGGGAGAAGGUGACUCAGGGCAUCUCGGCGCUGCUCUCCAUGACUGUCUUCCUCAUGACCAUCAGAGUCCCUGCCGCCAGCUGAGGAGACACCGCUCGUCAGCCCUGUGUGAGACGAGAUGAAAGAAAGUUGCCGAACCUUCCUGCCAGCGAGCGAUCCGGCACUGUGCUUCAUAUUUUUUGCUCCUCACUGCUGACGCGCUGCGCCUUGGAACUUCACCCAACUAUCGCGCUUUGCUGACUUCCUCACCCAAGUGCUGUGCGGGAGAGAGCAGCGUGGGAGGAGUAAUAGCGGAGAUACAAGCAAAAAGAGGUGAGGAGCUGCAGCAGCAUUUCCAGCAGCAGCAGCAGCAGCAGCAUGGCAGAGCAGAGGCCCGGGGUGGGAGGCAGAAGGCAGUGUGCUCGUCAAGUUUGUCACCACGGAGAACCAAUACACAGUGGUGGGCACCUCAGUGCUGGUGGGAGUGAACAGCAACCUUGCUAGUCUGAAUGAAAUUGUCCACGUGUUCAUGAGAUGAGACCGUCACCACGAGCUGCCCUGCCUCAUUACGCUCUCUUCACCUUUUUGAGUUUUGUUGGACAUGUAUGCAAGGGAAGAAUGUUAGAGGAUAGGCACAAUUUUAGUUGUAUAAGGUAUGCAAGGGAAGUUUGUUAGAGGAUAGGCACAAUUUUAGUUGUAUGAAGGUGUGUCUUACCUCAAGGAAUAAUUGCAUCACACUAAGGAACGCAGUGAAUCUUUCGUGUCGCCAAGUUUGGUGUGUGACCCACUGCGAGUUUGUUUUGGUACAUGCAACAUAAGCGUUGUCAGGUAAUUUCUUCCUGAUUGGUGUUAUUUUGUGUGAAUUACCAUUAAGUGCUACCUGUUUUACAUUGUUACCUUGCAAAAGAGAGUUGUUUUUGUGGUGUAGAAGUGGUCAUCACUGUUUACAUGUGUUAAGAUGUUUGAGGUAUUAUUUAAGGGCCACUGUCCCAAAGCUUAACCUUCACCUAAUAAGAUGCAGGCUCAUUUUUUGACUCUUAUUUUGGAAAAGAGGUGCAUUUCAUAAGCCAUCAUAUAUGGUACAUACACCCACCCUUGGGGAACCACACUUAAUAUCGGGCUCCACACUGAUGUCUGGUCCCUUACUACCAUUCACAUUCUCUCUCUCUCUCUCUCUCUCUCUCUCUCUCUCUCUCUCUCUCUCCAUUGUCUUUCAUACAUCACUUACCUUCUCCAGUUUCCAUAGAAGUCUUUUAAGUGGUACCUUAUUAAAAGUUUUUCUUCAGUCUAGGUAAAUGCAGCCUGCCCAACCAUCUUUCCCUCUCUCUCCUGUAUUAUAUCAAACACUCUUGAAUAAUAACACAACAGAUUGGUGAGACAAGAUCUCUCCUUGCUAAAACUAAAUUGACAACUUGUUAAAAAUUUUAUCUUCCAAAAAUUUGGUCCAUAUUUUUUAUUUUUAUUUAUUUAUUUAUUUUUUUUUUUAUCCUUUCCUUUUAUUAUCCUUUUUGGUACCACACUCAUCAGGAAAACUGGUUUGUAAUUUAGUGGGUCUUGUGUGUCUCCUUUAAAUAUGGGCAUGAGGUUAGCUCUUCCAAUCCUGUGGAUCUAAUAGAGGUACACUUGAUGGAAUGUAUUUUAUUUUUAUGCUGGUUACUGCACUCUUUCAAUACCCAUCCUGACACUCCAUCCAGUUCUAGAUCUUUCUUACAACUAAAGUUUUGAUGGUUUCAUUAAUUUCCUGUAUUGUUACUUGAAAUUCCUCCAUUUUUCUCUUUUCCUGUACAUGCAGUGACCUUAUGAAUUCCUUUUCCUUUGUAAAAACUUCCUUGAAGCUCUUAUUUUUCCCUUCCGUCAUCUCCUUGGGGUCCUUGUAUACCACUCCAUCCAUCCUUAGUUUUUCUAUGCUCACUCCCUUUGCUUUUCAGUUUACCAUUGACAUGUCUGUAGAAGAGUUCAGGCUGAUGCUUACACCUGUCUAUUACAGUAAAAUCCCUCUCAUCCGGCAUUCGAGUAUCUGGCAUCUUCAAGUAUCCGGCACAUUUUUCCCCGAGCCUUAAAAUCAAUAAAAAAAUCAAUGUGUACUCAUAAAUCAAUUAAAAUUCCCGCGCGAGGCAUACUUUGUCCCCUCGCCACCAGAGCGCACUGCUUCACACCACCCGCGGCCCACUGCACUGUGUUUACUCAGUGACUCAGUCCCUCGUGUGCACUGUUUAUCGCCUGACACCUUCAUCAUACCUAAAGUUGUAGAAAAGAGGAAGCGUGUCGUGCUUACACUUAAGCAGCUGAUCAGAUCAGUUGCUGAUUAAGACCAGCUGAUCUUUGUUAUGGUAAGAUGCGUGAGUGUAGGGUGAUGAUUGUGGACAUAAUUUCACUUCUAUUCAAGUAUCCGGCAAUAUUCAAGUAUCCGGCAUGUCGGCGGUCCCGUUGAUGCCGGAUAAGAGGGAUUUUACUGUAUAUCUUUUUCAAAACUGCCUUAGUUCAUCUCUCUGGAUUUUCAUGUAAUCAUAUCUUGCUUGUUUGUAAUUAUUCCAUAAGUUAAUUCUUAUAUUUUUCCUCCACUUUUUCCUUGAAUCAUCUUUUAUCCUCCUUGCUACUUCACAUCUUUUUUAUCAAACCACUCUUACCAACUUUUUGUCUGCCAUUUAGACACAAACUUCUUUUCUCCUCAGUAUAUUUUAAGAAACUUGUGCCACUUUCUUGGACCCCUGUGGCCUUAUGGAACACAUCCCAUCUCUCUUCUUGAAAAACUUCAUGUUGUCAAAGUCUGCCCCACUGUAGUUUAAUCUCCAAGCUUGGUGUUCUUCAUUCCAUUUACCCUCUAUUUCCUCAUUUAUGUUGAAUUCCAUGGUAGCACAGUCAUUUUUGGCUAUCAGAUGCUCUCUCUGAACACUCAAUUCCUUGUGGUUCCUUUGCUAAAUACAUUUAGUCUCAAUGUUUUUCCAUCUUUUCCAAAUCUUGUAUCACUUUUAUCCAUUGUGUUAAUACAUUGUCCAUUGCCAGCUGUAAUUAUUUAUUCCCCCAAGAUGACUCUGUUCCCUGAGUGCAUCACUCUUCCCAGCACACCUCCUUACACAAGUCUCCAUCCAUAACCACUUUAUCACCACUUGGUAUUUUCUCUUGCCAGUUCUUUGUGUCUUUUAUCAUUGCUUCACAUUCUUCACUUGACCAGGCAUUGGUUGUGGGUGGUAUGUCAGUCACCAUGAAUUGUCUCUUUCUGCCUUGUAUAAUUUCCAUUCCAGUUUUUAAUGCCUCUGCCAGUCCAUUGCCACAUUCUUUUUCAACCACUGUCAAGCUUUUCUUAGCUAAAAACAUCACUGCUCCUCCCUUCUUUAUUUUUUCUGCCUCUUUUUCAUAACUUGUAUCUAUUUUGUCCAAUGUUCUGUAGAUCUAACUCAUCACAUAAUUUUCACUUUUGUUUUUUUCUGCCACUGACCCAUCACUCGGCACAAAGUUAACCUUGAUUCACCUCUGUUUUCCCCUUUUACUUUUCUCUUCCUCUCUACUUUUAACAUCACUUCUACCUUUUCUUACUGUUUCAUGAUGGAGACUCAAGCUCUCCAUGCUUCAACUGGCUCACCAGAGUCAUGGAGCUGCUACCCUUAUGUCCUCCCACCUUGGCUGCACAUGUUUGUAUGUGUGUGUGUUUGUGUUUGUGUGUGUGUACUGUUUACAUUCAGUAUAACCAAAAAGUUGGGUCAUAGGUCACAUCUGCAGCACAGUAUGGUGUUUUAGACAGGAGGGAGGCCCCUAGGCAAUAAUCUCAGUGAGCCGUGAACUCUCAGGUGACGCACUGCACACACCCAGCAUCAUGAAUUUCUAGUACAAAGCUGUUCAAGCAUACUGGUGCAACAUAUGCCUAGCCAGAUACUAUUGAUUACUGACUCCUGCCAUCCACUCCUGAAAGAUGCAAAAAUUGACAGAAAUAAUGUGAUUCACUGUGAAAGUAUUAAAAGUAUUUCCAUUGCAUUAUAUUAAUAUUAUAAGCCAAAAAUAAAAUUAGAAAUUGUUCAUUAAAUAAAUUAAUAAAUAUAUAAUAUAUAUUUUUAUAUUGUGGUAAUAAUACAAGUUAACUUUUUUUGAUAAUACAAGUUAACUUUUUUUAUUAUUUCAUUUUUUGUUACAAGACUAAAAAUAUACAUAAAUAAUAUAAUAAUAAUAAUUAAUAAUAAUAAUAAUAAUAAUAAUAAUAAAAUAAUAAUAAUCGUAAACUAUUAUAAAUAUUUUCCAUUCAUUGGUAUAUUAUUUAAAAAAAAUUUCUUUACAGGCACUUCCUCCUCCUGGCUGGUCACAGCAUUAUUAUUAUUAUUAUUAUUAUUAUUAUUAUUAUUAUUAUUAUUAUUAUUAUUAGUAGUAGUAGUAGUAGUAGUAGUAGUAGUAGUAGUAGUUGUGGUUGUGGUGGUGGUGGUGAUAGUGGUGGUAUAUAGUGGUUGUGGAAGUACUAGUUCAAAGUAGCAUCAAUAGUAGUAGUAGUAAUAACACUUAAUAGGAACAUUCUAAGGUUCUGUCUUUGCAACACACACACACACACACACACACACACACACACACACACACACACACACACACACACACACACACACACACACACACACACACCCCUAUUUCUCUCUCUCUCUGACUCCUGCCAUCCACUCCUGAAAGAUGAAAAAAUUGACAGAAAUAAUGUAAUAGUAGUAAUUUACUAGUUUACUAGUAAUGAAGUACUAGUUGAAAGUAGCAACAAUAGUAGUAGUAGUAACAACACUUAAUAGGAACAUUCUAAGGUUCUAUCUUUGCAAAAACACACACACACACACACACACACACUCUCUCUCUCUCUCUCUCUCUCUCUCUCUCUCUCUCUCUCUCUCUCUCUCUCUCUCUCUCUCUCUCUCUCUCUCUCUCACAACAUCUCCCUCACUGUCACACACAAGAACUACCAAAAACCGACCCCAAAUCAAACACACAACACAACAGAUCAAUUUUAAUCCUCUCAUAGCCUCUCCCUGAGCCCCCCAACACUCCCCUGACCCCUCAACAGCCCCAAACAUACCCUGACACUCUUCUCUCAACUGUAUGGCCUGUUUCAGCUUGUAUAAUGGCAGGUCAAGUUGGGCAAUGCAAGUGCAUGCUGGAAGGAAGCUGUCAUCUGCUGGCCUUUAGAUUAUCAACUUGGGAGCCUGGGUGUGUGUUUGUGUCAAAGAGAAUCAGUUUGAGUGAGUAGUGAGACGGGGUUUUUGAGUAUGUGUGGGUAAAAGAAGGGGUUUUGUAAAAGAGAGAGAGAGAGAGAGAGAGAGAGAGAGAGAGAGAGAGAGAGAGAGAGAGAGAGAGAGAGAGAGAGAGAGAGAGAGAGAGAGAGAGAGAGAGAGAGAGAGAGAUGGAGUAUUGCGCGCACACACACACACACACACACACACACACACCAGUAUGUCCCCCACCGUAUGUUGAUGAACCCACAGUCACUCUCCACAGCCUUUCACAUUAGAGAGAGAGAGAGAGAGAGAGAGAGAGAAUGUUACUGUUUGUGAGAGAAUUAAUUACUAUUAUUAUUAAUAAUAAUAUUAUGUUCAAAAUGUAUUAUUUAUAUUUUCAUUGUUUUCAGAAGUGAUAGAAAGAAGGAAGAGGAGAAGAUAGAUGAUAAUAAGGAA